rnacentral:rRNA from 1 species
GAUGAACGCUGGCGGCGUGCCUAAUACAUGCAAGUCGAGCGAACGGACGAGAAGCUUGCUUUUCUGAUGUUAGCGGCGGACGGGUGAGUAACACGUGGAUAACCUACCUAUAAGACUGGGAUAACUUCGGGAAACCGGAGCUAAUACCGGAUAAUAUUUUGAACCGCAUGAUUCAAAAGUGAAAGACGGUCUUGCUGUCACUUAUAGAUGGAUCCGCGCUGCAUUAGCUAGUUGGUAAGGUAACGGCUUACCAAGGCAACGAUGCAUAGCCGACCUGAGAGGGUGAUCGGCCACACUGGAACUGAGACACGGUCCAGACUCCUACGGGAGGCAGCAGUAGGGAAUCUUCCGCAAUGGGCGAAAGCCUGACGGAGCAACGCCGCGUGAGUGAUGAAGGUCUUCGGAUCGUAAAACUCUGUUAUUAGGGAAGAACAUAUGUGUAAGUAACUGUGCACAUCUUGACGGUACCUAAUCAGAAAGCCACGGCUAACUACGU